CCUACGGGAGGCAGCAGUGGGGAAUCUUGCACAAUGGAGGAAACUCUGAUGCAGCGAUGCCGCGUGAGUGAAGAAGGCCUUUGGGUUGUAAAGCUCUUUUGUAGGGGAAGAUAAUGACUGUACCCUAAGAAUAAGGUCCGGCUAACUUCGUGCCAGCAGCCGCGGUAAUACGAAGGGACCUAGCGUAGUUCGGAAUUACUGGGCGUAAAGCGCGCGUAGGCCGUUGAGUUAGUUAAUUGUGAAAUCCCAAAGCUUAACUUUGGAACUGCAAUUAAACUGCUCGACUAGAGUUUGAUAGAGGAAAGCGGAAUACAUAGUGUAGAGGUGAAAUUCGUAGAUAUUAUGUAGAACACCAGUUGCGAAGGCGGCUUUCUGGAUCAACACUGACGCUGAGGCGCGAAAGUAUGGGUAGCAAAGAGGAUUAGAUACCCUCGUAGUCCAUACCAUAAACGAUGAUUGCUAGAUGUUGGAAAUUUAUUUUCAGUAUCGCAGCUAACGCAUUAAGCAAUCCGCCUGGGGAGUACGACCGCAAGGUUAAAACUCAAAGGAAUUGACGG
rnacentral:rRNA from 1 species